UAGUUGCGAGAGCUUGACUUCCUUUCGCCUCCCAUAGGCGGGUCUUGUUGUCAUGGCGGUGUUUUAAACAACGGUCAUUAUAUCUUUGUCAUAUAAUGAUGAAAUUCGUAUUAUAUGACAUGGUUAUUUACCUCAAAUAACCAAAUUCGUGCGAAAUGAAUCGCUAAAUGAACGAAGGCUGUGUAGUCUAAACAAGGAGGACUAACGGAUACUGUUUUGGUCCAACUUAACUAGCAUUUUAGCUUAGUCGAAUUAGCCUUCGUUUUUUAAUAUGCUGCCCUUUCAUCUAGAGCAGGUUGGAUCCCCUAUAGACAGUGUGGAAACCAGUUGAUGCUGGGUUCGGUUGGUCCGGUCCUGGGGUUCAAACUCAUCAUCAUUUUAAUGUCGCAUCAUGACGUCACAUCCAUCACACAGGGGUCCCAGGAGCGAGUGGGUCGUCUCAGAACCGAACUAUAAGAUACACAGCCGAAGUACUUCUGCUGGACCCUUUCAGACCCAGUUGCUCUUCAACGAGACCAUUCCCUCCAGCUCCUCCAACCGCGCCUCUCGCACCGGGCCCCCAUCGCCCAUCGUGAUCGAGAAGCUGGUGCCGCGCUCGGAGGAGCCGGAGAGGCCGGGCAGCUCCCGGAGCUCCGUGAACUUCUCCACCCUCUCCGAGGAGCGUCUGAUGGCCGCCGUGCGGCUGGCCAAGCGGGACCUCCGGAGACGGCGUCAGGAGACCCUGAGGUGCUCCGCCGCCGCCAGACCCCCAUCGGAGGAGGAGUCCGCCCAGGAUACCAGCAGUAUGGACUCGGAACAGGAGAAUGAAGCCAGUUUCAUAUCGGGACCGAAGACUUCCAGCCCCAAAGAGAAGGCAACUCGAUCCGGGGCCAGGUUCUUAGUCCAGUCCCCCCAGAGGAGGUCAGUGUUGGCUGGGUUUGGUCAGGGCAAGUCCCCCCCGACCAAAGACCCUGGUAUGGGUCCCUCAGCUAGAAGCCAUCAGCCCCAGCUGAGCCGGGAGAUCCAGAAAGUUCAGAAGGAGCUGCUCGUCUACAUUGAAAAAGUGGAAAACAGAGGGCAAAAAGCAGAGGAGCCUUUGGAACAAGAGGAGCAACAGAAGAAAGAGAUUCACUGUCAGAAACAAGCUGCCUACUCGGCACGUAUCAUCUACGGCCUUCAGCAGCAGGUCAAAGACAUCCAAGAGGAGAUGGAGAAGCCGUGUCCCCAGAGAGACCGGAGCACCAAGAAGUCCAAGGCCGUGGACCGGUUGGCAGCGGCCCACAGAUCAGCUCUCAGGGCCAUGCGGGUCUUCACCCAACAACUGUCAGAGCCGCCCGUGGGCAAGGUGCCGUCCCAUCACAGAGAGCUGAGCCAGCUCCUACGCCAGCUCGCCCACCGCGCCGCCACGGUGGAGGUGGACCCCGGGUCGACGGUCCCCUCCACGGCUCUGGAGGUCCUGCAGAGGCUAGAGACCCUGGACUCAGCCUUCAGUGAACAGGACCGAUCUCAGCAGAGACAAGCCCCGGCACGCCGCUCCUCCUCUCUUCCACGCGGGCGGUCUCCUCCUCCGCGCCACAGGUCCACCCCCCGUGCACCCGGGGGGGCCCCCCUCGGCAGGGGCCCGGGAAGGCACAAAGCUGUGGGACCCAGGAAGAGCAUUCACGGCAGGAGGAGAGCCCCUCCUCCCAGGGUCCCCCCCCGUGGAGCCCCCUGCCAGCCGGGGGGGCGGGGCCAGCCUGUGGGGCGGAGCCAGGCGCUGCGGGCCGGCCUGGAGAGCCUCCUCCAGCAGAGGGCGCUGCAGGCAGAGAGUCGGGAGCAGCCGGAGCCACAGACCCACGGAGGAGGAGGAGGAGAGAGAGAGAGGAGCAGGAGCCACCCAGUGCGGGGCGACACAGGCUUCCGCCAGCCCACCGUGUCCUCCCAGCUCCGUGUGAGCCAGCCCCCUCCCCAGCGAGAGCCCUCCGUACCCUGGGUGCCAGCGUCACCGCACUCCCCUCCCCGUCCUGCUCCGAGCAGAUCCCCUCGUGAAGGCAGACCAGAGCCUCGCUGCCUCUUCUCCCCGCCGAAGGCCCCUCCCAGCCCCCCGAGGCCCAGCGAGGCCAGGGGGCCGAAGGCGGAGCAGCUCAUCUUCUCAGACCAGAGGAGUCGAGCCCAGAACGAGGCCCUAAGACAAGUGUGGCUGGAGAGGACGACCAUGCAGAGACUCCGCGAGCUGAACCAGCUGAGCCGCGCGGAGGCGGAGCACAUCCACAGACUGCGGUCGGAGGUCAGCUCUCCAACCCGGUGGGCCCAGAGAGCCGAGCAGGAGGCCAGAGACAAGAUCCAGCCCCUGUUGGACGAGGCCCGGCGAGUGGGGGGGGCCAGGCGGGACCGCAGCCCAUCGCCACAGCAACGGAGGUCUGGGCAGGAGAGGGCGGUGGGGAGCGAGGAGCAGGUGAGCGCGGAACACCUGGAGGAGCUGCUGGACGAGACGGAGCGGGCCGCGUGGGCGAGCGAGGCGGACGAGGAGGCCCGGCGCAGGCUGGGGGCGCCCACCCUGGAGGGCAUGCUGCUGCGCAUGGAGGAGAUCCAGAAGGACGAGGACGCGGUGAGGAGACGCUUCGCUGCCAUCGCCUACGCGGACCCUCCCUCCUGGAGCAGCGCUCAACAACCAGGGAUCCAGGGUCAGGCGCUGGGCUCCAACCCCGCCUCCCCUCAGCCCAUUAGACUGACCCGGCCGGUGCACAGACACAGCCCCGUGCCCCACAUCGUACUGGAGGAGCCCGUGGAGACCGGCCUGGCGGAACAGCUCCUGGAGGAGGCGCUGGCGGGCGUGGCGGCGGAGUUCCAGGACGCCUGUGAGGACUACGCCGAGGCUGUGUUCACCUCCGAGUUCCUCCGGCCCGCGCAGUCCCCCCCCGGGCCGGCACCACCCACACCGUCACUGGGCCUGGUGUAGGGGCGAGGCGGAGGCACCACCAGCACCUCCUCCUCCUGGUCUCUCCUCCUCCACCUCCUAAUCCUCCGUCACUGGGCCUGGCGUUGGGGCGAGGUGGACACACCACCACCUGCUCCUCCUGGUCUCCUCCUCCUCCUCCUGCUCUCCUCCUCCUGGUCUCCUCCUCAUCCUCCUGUUCUCCUCCUCCUCCUCCUGUUCUCCUCCUCCUCCUCCUUCUCCUCCUCCUGGUCUCCUCCUCCUCCUCCUGGUCUCCUCCUCCUCUUCCUCCUGGUCUCCUCCUCCUGCUCCUCCUGGUCUCUUCCUCCUCCUCCUGGUCUCCUCCUCCUCCUGGUCUCCUCCUUGUCCCCAUCUCCUCCUCCUCCUCCUCCUCCUCCUCCUCCUCCUCCUAGUCACCUCCUUCUCCUCCUCAUCCUCCUCCUGGUCUCCUCCUCCUCCUCUUCCUCCUCCUCCUCCUGGUCUCCUCCUCCUCCUCCUCCUCCUCCUCCUCCUCCUGGUCUCCUCCUCCACCUCCUCCUCCUCCUCCUCCUCGUCUACUCCUCCUCCUCCUGGUCUCCUCCUCCUCCUCUUUCUCCUCCUCCUCCUGGUCUCUUCCUCCUCCUCCUGGUCUCCUCCUCCUCCUCCUCCUGGUUUCCUCCACCUCCUCCUCCUCCUGAUCUCCUCCUUGUCCCCAUCUCCUCCUCCUCCUCCUCCUGGUCUCCUCCUGGUCUCCUCCUCCUCCUCCUGGUCUCCUCCUCCACUUCCUGGUCUCUUCCUCCUCCUCCUGGUCUCCUCCUCCUCCUCUUCCUCCUGGUCUCCUCCUCCUCCUCCUGGUCUCCUCCUCCUCCACCUCCUCAUCCUCCGUCACUGGGCCUAGGCGUCGGUGCGAGGCGGUCGCCUUAGAGACGACUCCACCGGGGACCCCACAGAUGUCCUGGCGCUUGCCGUCGACUUGUUAAAUAAUGUUUUUAUUUUGGACUUUGUACUCAGGUUAUGGAUUCAGGCUCUCUGCUUCUCCUUCUAGAAUGUAAAUCAAAGUAUGACGUGUAUUUUUUUAUUUAUUACAUUAAUGAAUUGUGUUUUUGCCGUGGAAAAUAAAAGCGUGGUUUUCGUAUGAUGAA